rnacentral:rRNA from 1 species
AGUGAACGCUGGCGGUGGGCCUAACACAUGCAAGUCGAACGGCAGCACAGUAAGAGCUUGCUCUUACGGGUGGCGAGUGGCGGACGGGUGAGGAAUACAUCGGAAUCUACUUUUUCGUGGGGGAUAACGUAGGGAAACUUACGCUAAUACCGCAUACGACCUACGGGUGAAAGCAGGGGAUCUUCGGACCUUGCGCGAUUGAAUGAGCCGAUGUCGGAUUAGCUAGUUGGCGGGGUAAAGGCCCACCAAGGCGACGAUCCGUAGCUGGUCUGAGAGGAUGAUCAGCCACACUGGAAGUGAGACACGGUCCAGACUCCUACGGGAGGAAGCAGUGGGGAAUAUUGGACAAGGGGCGCAAGCCUGAUCCAGCCAUACCGCGUGGGUGAAGAAGGACUUCGGGUUGUAAAGCCCUUUUGUUGGGAAAGAAAAGCAGCAGGUUAAUACCCCGCUGUUCUGACGGUACCCAAAGAAUAAGCACCGGCUAACUUCGUG